rnacentral:rRNA from 1 species
AACGAACGCUGGCGGCAUGCCUAACACAUGCAAGUCGAACGAAACCUCCGGGCCUAUUGGCGCACGGGGACGUAACGCGUGGGAAGCUGCCCGUAGGUUCGGUAUAACUCCCCGUAAGGGGUGCUCAUAACGGAUAAGGUCUUCGGACCAAAGAUUUAUCGCUUUUGGAUGGGCGCGCGUUGGAUUAGCUAGUUGGUAGGGUAAAAGCCUCCCAUGGCGACGAUCCAUAGCUGGUCUGAGAGGAUGAUCAGCCACACUGGGAAUGAGACACGGCCCAGAAUGAUACGGGAGGCAGCAGUGGGGAAUAUAGGAAGAGGGGCGAAAGCGUGGUCCAGCGAUGCCGGGUGAGUGAUGAAGGCCGUAGGGUUGUAAAGCUCUUUUACCCGGGAUGAUAAUGACAGUACCGGGAGAAUAAGCACCGGCUAACUACGUG